rnacentral:tRNA from 1 species
GGGCUCGUAGCUCAGCAGCAGAGCGCUUCUUUGGCGUAGAAGAGGCCGCGGGUGCGAAUCCCGCCGAGUCCA